UACAGAGGUCUCAAGCGUUGUUCGGAUUCAUUGGGCGUAAAGGGUGCGUAGGCGGUUUGUUAAGUCAGUCGUUAAAGGCAGCAGCUUAACUGUUGUAAAGGCGAUUGAUACUGGCGAACUUGAAUUAUUGGGAGGUUGUCGGAAUGCGUAGUGUAGCGGUGAAAUGCUCAGAUAUUACGCAGAACGCCGAUUGCGAAGGCAGAUAACUACCAAUAUAUUGACGCUGAGGCAC
rnacentral:rRNA from 1 species